AAUUGAGCGCGAGCUCAAAUGAGCUCGUUAUCCACGUCGUUGGUUAGCCCCUCUAGAUGUGUGCCAUUAAUUUAUCCUAGCGUCGGUGGUCAUCCAGAAAUCGGGUACUGUUCCGAAAUACGUCCCCGGCAGCGGUGUCCAGUGGGCCAGAUUUAACGCUGGGGAGGACGGCAGUUUGCCACCGGGGAGGUGUUCCAUGGAUCAGAAUCAGAGCCGCCGUCUGAUCCGUGGAUCAGGAAAUUCGCUUUACCGUCUCGCCGCACGAGUCGAGUUGAAUCCAGAGUCCAGCCGUCUUCUCUUGCAAAGCGACUGACGAUUUGAAGGCGACGACUGGGAGAUAAAGGUCAGGAGCGGCAGCGGCGAUCCAACAUGGAGUUCUUGAUGCAGCCGAUCGGCAGAUCUGCUGUGCUUGAGGAGAUAGAAGAGAGCCUGGUGCCUGUCCCUCUGGUUGCCGAUGGCGAAGUGGUGGCGGAGCAUGCUGUGCGGCAGCAUCACAGGGCGGCGGACAGCGGCAAAGCACAGAUCAGGGGCGGAGGCCGCAGCGGGCAGAAGGGAUAGCUCCCCUCCGACGCCCGAGGGGAAGACGAAUCCCCAGGCGCCCGGAUGGAAUAAGAGGACUAGGGUUGGAUUAGCUGGCAGGACGAGGAUGAAGUUGGUUCCGGCCAAGAGCAGCGUCAUGCGCUGGCUGUCGGUGGAGCAGCGUGGAGGCGCGACACGGGGGAGGCUCGGCUGCUGCACCUGUGGCUGCAUGCGCACAUGUGCUGGCUGAAUCUCCGCCUGGCUGCCAUGGUCGAAGUUGUGGUCUCGCCUGUAUCUCUGCUGAAGGGGAGCCAACGGGUGCAUAGCAAAGGGGGGUUGCAGCACGUACGGCUGCGUCAGCCCUGCACGAGUCAGCUCCGGCAGAAGCAAGCUCCGGCGCGCGAGGCGAAGGUGACCACCUUGUCGAGGUAGCCAGGGCAAGGGAUGGGUGGCAGCACUUCCUGAGGCUGCGAGGAAGAAAAGUGAAUCUUCCAGAGCAAGGGUGUGUGCGGUCGAUGCAGUGCAUGUAUAUAUUAAAAAAUGUUUGCUGGAAUCCACCGUUCGGUGUGUAACGGCUGAGCCGUGGACCACGACGCUAGUGUCCAUCUGAGCCGGCUAGUGCUGGAUGAUGGACGUCUCAAUAAAUGCGGUCGGUGAGUGGGCCCUAGUCUGUGGAAAAGCAUCUCAUACUACUCAGAAUACGCAGUAAAAUACAUCUCCUGAUGCGAAUCUUAGCGCCAGACGAUGGCUGGGAUAGCAGGUCCAUCUGAGCUCGAGCUCAGAAUAGGACUUUCGAUCCUCAUUGUACUUGUCCAGUAAAGCUUGAACCAAAAGGCUGAUAUUCCUACGGUCCGGAUUUCCUUUGGAAGAGUUCUUCCUUGUGCCAUCAAGCCAGUAAAGCUCGUGUCUUAC